UACGUAGGAUGCAAGCGUUGUCCGGAAUUAUUGGGCGUAAAGAGCGCGCAGGCGGUCUAUCAAAGUCAGAUGUGAAAUAUCCGGGCUUAACCCGGAGGGGUCAUUUGAAACUGGUAGACUAGAGUACAGCAGAGGAUAGCGGAAUUCCCGGUGUAGUGGUGAAAAUGCGUAGAUAUCGGGAGGAACACCAGUGGCGAAGGGCGGAUCUCUGGGCCUUACUGACGCUGAGGGAGCGAAAAGCGUGGGGGAGCCGAACAGG
rnacentral:rRNA from 1 species